rnacentral:tRNA from 1 species
ACCUGCGGCAGGUCGCUCACCGGCUCCGGCGCGGGGGCCGGCUCCGGCUCCUCCUUCGGCUUGACGCUGCCGAG